rnacentral:snoRNA from 1 species
UUCUUCUUGUAUAAGCACUGUGCUAAAAUUGCAGAAACAAGGACUGUGUCCAGGUUUUUGUAAUGAUGCUAGCAGAGUACACACGAGAAGAAAAGGAACAGCACUCUAUCGGAAAGACGGGGGCGGACCUCUUUCUUAAUGUCCAGUGUCCUUGGUCCUAAGAUGGGGUGCGAUAAAA